rnacentral:piRNA from 1 species
GGCCAAACUCCUGUUGCUGUCUACACAAC